rnacentral:rRNA from 1 species
GACGAACGCUGGCGGCGUGCUUAACACAUGCAAGUCGAACGGAAAGGCCCUGCUUUUGUGGGGUGCUCGAGUGGCGAACGUGUGAGUAACACGUGAGUAACCUGCCCUUGACUUUGGGAUAACUUCAGGAAACUGGGGCUAAUACCGGAUAGGAGCUCCUGCUGCAUGGUGGGGGUUGGAACGUUUCGGCGGUUGGGGAUGGACUCGCGGCUUAUCAGCUUGUUGGUGGGGUAGUGGCUUACCAAGGCUUUGACGGGUAGCCGGCCUGAGAGGGUGACCGGUCAGAUGGGUCCUGAGAACUCGAUGAAUACAGUACGGGAGGCAGCAUUGGAGAGUGGUGGAAGAGGGGCUGACCACGCAUGCAUCAACGCGGCGUGGCGGAUGGGGGGCUGCGGGUUGUAUUUUGCUCUCGCCUGUGACGCACCGAGAGCGACGGUAACGGGUAAAGAAGCACCGCCUAAGGACGCG